AUGGGCUGGUCGGACCUCCCCAUAGAUCUCCUCAUCCGGAUACUGCAUCUCCUUGAGCUCCCCGAGGCCCUAGCCUUCCAUGCUGUCUGUCCAUCAUGGCGUUCUGCAUCUGUGGCCGCAGGCGGUGCCCCACCUCGCCGCACGCCGUGGCUUGUUUCCUUGGCAGCGGAGCCUCCUCCCGCAGGGGAUCAACAGCGCCGUGUGCGGCGUAGGUUAUGUGAUCCUGCUGCUACUUCUGAGCUCCGCAACCUCCUGGAUACUGAGAGAACUUUUCAGGUCAGCUUUCCCAGGGGCCAAGCUGUGGCCUGCUGCGGUGCCUCCCAUGGCUGGUUAAUCAUGGCAAACGAGCUCUCGGAUCUUGUCCUAUAUGACCCCUUCACCGCGGCGUUGAUCCCGCUCCCACCAAUCACCGGUUUUGCGUCGUGCAUACAGGGUGUCUAUGGAGACGAAGGGAAGAUCGUGGGCUAUCGUUACGGGUGUUACAUGAUAGAACGUGUUCAUGAUGUGCAGUCUCUCGGUGGGUAUUUCUAUGACAAGGUUGUGUUGUCCGGUCCUCCGUCCACUUGUCGCACUGUUGCUCUGGUCAUCCACCUGGACGGCAAGCGGCUCUCUUUCGCGAGAAUAGGAGAUACCUAUUGGCAACAAGUUUCGGUGAUCCGAAGAAACGGAGAUAGUUUUGCAGACUGUAUCUACCACCGCGGUAGGUUCUAUGCGGUGACAAUGGAAGGGAUAUUGAAGUCAUGGGACUUUAGUGGAUCAGACAAACCGAGGAAGAAAACGGUCAUUGCCGAGGAUGACAAUGACAUGUUCGACGACCCAGUUAUCACUAGGUACUUGCUUUCGACUCCUUGGGGUAAUCUCCUGCAGGUGCGUGUCUUUCUUGACACACACCAGGGAAACAAUGUCAGGAUUGAAAUAGACAGGUUGGACCUCAAGAGUCAGACAAGGGUAGCACUGAGCUCAGGGAAGGCUCUGCGGGGACAUGCGGCCUUCGUCGGACAGAAUAGCCCAGGCAUUUUAUCCACCAAAGAAUUCCCCAAACUAAGACCGGAUUGUAUCUAUUUCACAACUCCCCGCCUCAGAGAGCGCCAUGCUUUUGAGCAUCGCCGUAACCAAUGGAGCGGCGUGAAGGUAUAUGACCUGAAAAGGCAGACACUUGAAGAUGCUUUCCCAUCUGGUGGAGGUCUUUACGGAACCAUCUGUCCAUUGGAAGUCUGGUUCACACCAAGUCUGAUCUGA
rnacentral:rRNA from 1 species